rnacentral:lncRNA from 1 species
CUCAAACUCCGAGAUUAUCACUUUAAUCAUUGGCGUCAGUUUCGUGCAUUCGAGACAUCAUCGCAUAAUCUCUUCUUUGAAGCAGCCAACUUUCACUCAUUAUUACGCAAUCCAGUAUUGUACGUAUACUUUGUUGACCUAUACAUUCUAUUUACGAAAACGAUUCCCUAAUCGUACACGCGCAAUAUAAUUGGCCAUUCGAGUAGGUCAAGCCAAUCAAACGUUAAUGAUUUUCGUAAAACACGAACCAAGGUAAUCGAGUCCUCGAAUUUUUCGCUAGCGGCUACAAAAUCUUCGGCUCUCGGUCUUAUAAAUUCACCGGCUCGUCAAGCAACGGAUUCAGUCAGUCCUUUAUUUCAAAAUGAAGAAGUUUUUCGCCGUUUGUUUCGUGCUGUGCGCACUGAUAUCGCACGAAUCGUUAAAAAAUCAGUGCGAAGCUGCAAUUUUUCAACCUAAUUUCAACUACGCGAAUCAUCGACGUGUGCCUCCGUCAACUUCAGCGACUUUUGUUACAAUUCAAAAAAGUGUCGAGCUAGACAGCAAUGUCCUACCAUCGAUACUAAUUGAAAUUAUUAAUCGAAGAAUCGGCACUGGUGCAACAUUCACGGCUGAUCGUGCACCUCUACCACCUGCAGCUGUAGCUGCUGGCUUCGGUUUUGGUGCUUCCUCAUUUGGUGUUGUAGCAGAUCCUGCUCCACGGUGUUUGCCUAAUGAAGAUUUUGUUUUGAACGAAUGCCGGGAACAAUCCUAAAUGGCUAUAAGUUUUAUAAAAUGUUUACUCGUUAAAGAAAUUUUUCAUUCAGGAUGUGCAACGACACGAUUAUGCAUUUUUGCACGCCAAUAAACCCUCAUCGGUAGACUUCUUAGUAUGCAUUAUUCCAAGGAUAACAAGUAUUUCUUUUUUUACUUAUUUCUCACUUACAACAACUAUAAAGCCUUAGAUUUUUACUCUAACGGAUUAGAUAGUUCUCCAAUCAGUCGCUCGCUUCGUACUCACCUUCCACAAUCACAUUCUUCUUUUCUUACAUUUCCAAUAUGAGGAGUUUCUUGGCAACGAUUUUUUUAACAUGUGUUAUUUUUCAAUUGCUUGGAAAAAACCAGUAUCAAGCUGCAGCAGUAAAUAAAUGUGUAAUAAGUGAAAAAUCACCUUCCGUGGAGAUUGCAAGAAUUAAUAAGGAAGCCAAAGAGCAUUUGAAAAAAGAUUUUAAAGUGCCACCCUUGCCGAGGCCUGUAUCCACGAUAUACGAGAGUAAGCGAUGUAAGCAUGGUGAGGAAUUCGUUGCAGGAGAAUGUCGUCAAUCAUCAUAGAAAACAAAUUUUCAUUGUAAGAAGCGAUUAUUUUUAUGUCACGUGAAACGUAAGCUACUUUUUACUCAACUAUAACGGCAUUUCUCUUCUCCGCCUACUGCAUUGUCAUGUAGCUGAUUUGAUUUAUCUUUAACCAAAGUUUAAAACGUGGCCAAAUUUCAUAUAAAACGAACAGAUGAGCUACUAUUGAAUUUCUACAUGCAAACUAAAACCAGUUUUGCCUUUUACUUUUGUAUCGACGAAUACAAGCGCUAUGAAAAUUUCCGUCCUCAGUUUUACAAAUUAUUAAGCAAUUGAGUCAGUCUCUCACGUCCUACCCAUCAGACACAGUCAAGUUUUGGCUUCGACCGACUUAAUAUGAAGAAGUUUUGUGCAAUGUUAUUCUUAAUAUGCGUAGUUUUGAAUUUAACUAGAGAUACUCUCUGUCAAGAAGCAGUGUUGAAUAAUACAAGUACAAAUAGUGCAAAUAAAAACCUGAAAUUUAAAGAAGAUUCGAGAUUAAAAUUUUUCUUUCCUACGUUGAGAUCAGGAAUUGUAUUUUACUCUGAUCCUCGAUGUGAACAUGGUUUUGAAUUUCUGUUCGGAGAUUGCCGCCCAAUAUCAGAGGAAUUAGAAGAAUCAAAGGAAUAACAAAUUUGAAGAAAAAUAUUAUUCUAAAUUCUAUACUAAUUUUAACCAGCUUCAAAAACGGUUCGGUACUAAAUUAACAACAGUUAUAAAUGAUCCCGCUGAAGUCAGUCGUUUAUACAUUAUAGCGCGAUCUUACAAGCCACGUCGAUGAACCAUCAUAAGACUUUUACAGAUAAAUACAAACCAGUUUCCAAGUUUUUUAUACUAUACCAGUCAACUAUUCAGCUUUACGAAUUAUUUUCGGCAUAUCAGUUAAUAUCUCGCUUCCUGUUCAACUGUCACAAUCUCGACUUAUAAUUUCCAGUAUGAAAGAGUGUGUAAUUAUUUUCUUAAUACUCGCUAUUUUGACCGGGGAAAAUCAGUGUCAAACUGCAAGAUUAAAGACAAGUGAAGAAAGUGAAGAUGAUCAACAAUAUUUGCCUGCUGUAGUGCUGGCCAAAUAAACUACGCAAAAUAAACAAGAUUCAGAAGAAGAUUUUCAAUUGCCGGAAUUACCAGAGCUAACGAAGUUCGAAUUUGUUCCUGUAUCCAUAAUUGUAGCAAGAAGGUGUGAAACCAAAAUUGCUGGAGAAUGUCGCGAUGCAGAAGAAUAAGAAUAUUAAAAUACUUUACGAUUAACUUCAAGAUAAAUACUGCAUUUUUAACAAGGCGCUUUGCUUUUAUUUAGUUUAACGGCACUCAAAACCGGUUGUACAUCCGAAAAUACUUUCUAUUUACAGAACCAUAAUAAGGAAAAUGGUAUAUCCUGACACAUUGACUUAUUUAUUUAUCGGCAAAAGAAACUAGUUUUAAAUUAUCAAAGAGCCUUGGCCAUAGCUUUGAUUCUCGUACUAACUAUACAUUCUGUAGCAUCCUCGUGCUUUUCUCUAUUUUUCUCGAGAAACGCUCGAGACUACACGUUCUUGUUAAAAUGAAUAAGUUUCCUUUAAAAAUGUUGAUUUCAUUGAUACUGUGGCAAAAUAGUGUAAACAUAAACUUUAGUGAAGCCAAAGUGAUUGGUAUCCACAACAACUGAAGAUUAUUCUGAACAAAAUAUUUUGAACACCAUAGGAACAUCCACCACACAAGAGUCAGCAUAUGGAGCGUCAUUCAUAAGAAACAAUAUCACGGUGGUAGAUCCGUUAUAGCUAUAAAUUCAGCCAAGCGCUGUGCCCCUGGAGAAGUUUACGCAUCCGGCAGUUGUCGAAUCAACUUAGAAUAAUUGCUAAAAAUAUCGAUCGAGUGACCCCGAGAGUCCGUCGUCGAAGCUGAGAAGACCGAAGGAAGAAAAGAGAAGAGAAGCUAGGAGCGAGUAAUAUAAGAAAAUCUGCGUUUCAUUGUUUGUCUUCCGACAAUGCGAAAGUUCAGGAUCGCUUCUCGGCGUACACGCGAUGACCUCGAGGAACUUGUGGCCACGACCCCGCCGCGACUGCGUUUAGGGAGAACGACCUAACGGGAGCCACCGGAGCUUUAUGCCACUUAUGCUACUUAUUAUGUCGCGCGAGUGCUGCUCAUUUUCCUGGGAGCCGAUGAAGAAUCGAGUGGCAUUAGAGACUAGUUGCAGCUUAUCACGCAAGAAAGAGGAAGACGCGAGCUAGCUGUGCGCCAAAUUGAGAUUGAUGUUAGAUUUUCGUUCUCUUUCAACCAAGGUUCUUUUCGUCAUGUAUAAGCGUUGUUGUUUUGAGAAACUUAGAAGUUAUACAAUUAGUAUUUACAUUUCAAGUGUGAGUUCAAAAUUCCAUUAACUUGGCCUUCUCCGCGAAGCUGAAUGUAGUCAGAAUUACAUGAAAACAAGUAUGCUAAUAAAAAAUUGAAAAUGCUGAAAAGGUAA